UAAAUAGCCAGACCGUCUUUUGAUGGUUGCAGGCUUCUUAGAGGGACUGUCAGGAUCUACCUGACGGAAGUUUGAGGCAAUAACAGGUCUGUGAUGCCCUUAGAUGUUCUGGGCCGCACGCGCGCUACACUGACAAAGCCAGCGAGUUUAUCACCUUGGCCGGAAGG
rnacentral:rRNA from 1 species